AUGUGGAGCUCAGCAUGUCUGGAAGCACAGGAGAACGUUCGUUUGCUGAUAUUAUUACCAGUAUUCGAUACUGGGUCAUUCAUAGCAUUACUAUACCUUCCCUAUUCAUUGUGGGUUUGUUAUUUUUCAGUACCGGUUUAGCUUACGAUGUAUUUAGAAGCCCUCGGCUAAACGAGUAUUUUACAGAGAGCCGAUAAGGAAUUCCAUUAAUAACUUGUCAUUUUGCUCCUUUGGAACAACUCAAUGAAUUUAGUAGAUCAUUUUAGGAGGCCCUAACGACUAUAGAUCGAACCUAUCCAAUUUUUACAGUAUGAUGGUUGGUUGUUCACGGCCUAGCUGUACCUACCGUCUUUUCUUUGGUAUCAAUAUCAGCAAUGCAGUUCAUCCAACGAUAAACUUAAUCCGAAUUAUAGAGCUAUGACACAAUCAAAUCCAAACGAACAAAAUGCUGAAUUGAAUCAUACCAUUCUCUACUGGGGGUUAUUACUCAUUUUUGUACUUGCUGUUUUAUCGACUAUAGAUCGAACCUAUCCAAUUUUUACAGUAUGAUGGUUGGUUGUUCACGGCCUAGCUGUACCUACCGUCUUUUCUUUGGUAUCAAUAUAUUUAUGUCUCUAGCAUGACCACGUGAUGAAAUCUGGAGGGAAGUGGGGUAAAUGGCCGAUACUACUGGAAGGAUUACUCUUUGGAUAAUAGGUACUGUAGCUGGCAUUCUUAUAAUCGGUUUAAUAGGUAUUUUCUUUAAUGGCUCAUAUUUUGGAUUGGGUUCAUCCCUGUAGUAAUCGAAUGAAUUGAGUUAUCAACAUGAAAGCGUAAGAACUCAACGGGAUUCCCUUCCUUGUUUGUUUGAUUCGAAGGGGAAGGGCCCGUUGAGUUCUUAAGAAUCAUACUAUUUUUUUCGUCUAAAUGAUAAAAUGAAAUAAUAAAAUGGAUUUCUUUUUCUUUUCAAAAACUCCAUUUUUCUCAUUUUUCUGAUCAUGUUUUUUAAAAAUUCACUUCAUUGAUUUAUUCAGACCACCUCUUCUUUUUAUAUGAUAGUAUCUAUUUGUAUAAGAUAAGUUGAUUGAAGAAGUUUUAUUUAAUUAAUAAAAUUUCCUCUCUUUUUUUGUUUUGUUUAUCAACCACUCCAUAUAUUAUACGUAAAGGGGGCGUAGGGUAACGGGUUUCUGAUACAUCUGGAAAAAUCGAAACCAAGACUAGGAAUUUUUAACAAACAGGAUCAAGAAUCAUUACUCUUUCAUUUCGACUCAAGAAAAAAGGAUUUUUCUACACCCCUUUCUUGUGUCAAAGACUGGGAAGACAAAUAAUCCCUUCUAGGAUUUUUUCUUCGAUGCAUUUAUCCCCCGCUUCCUUAUGUCUAGUAUUUAGACAAAUUUUACUUUCUUUCUAUUUAAAAAACAAAACUAUUGAUACGUCUUAUGUCUUAUGACAGUGAAAUCUAUCAAUAGUAACAUAGUCCUACUACUCAAAUAAAAAUAACUAAAUCAAAAUAAUGACGUCCGAGAGGAAUAAUAUCAACCACUUGACGUCCCUCCGACGCAUCCGUUAUGGUUAUCUCAUAUCCCCCUUUUUCUUUUCAUAUGAUUUUGCUUACUAUACCUGUUACUGUAGCAUUAUAAAAUAUAUUGUUACUCUUACUGCCGUUGGGAUAAAUCUGACCUUUUCCCCUGUUACCGCCUACGUAUAUAGGAUAUUUUAAGAAAUGAACAUCCUUCGUAGUAGCAGGGUCCGGGGAAAGAAUAGGCAAGGUUAUUUCACUAUAUUUUUUACGAGGGACAGGGCCUACCACAAGAAUAUUUUUUUAUUGGGGCGAUAGCUCUGAAAAGACAAAUUGCCAAUCUUUUCUUUCAUCUUGGGAGAAAUAUGAUCGAGAGGAGCUAAUUCAAACCCCUCCGGUAAAAUAAGAACAGCCCCCAUGUUCAACCCCCCCUUUUUACCAUUACCAAGAACCUGUUUUAGUUGCAUAUCAUAAGGAAUUCGAACAACUUCUUCAAAUACAGUAUCAGGAAUUACCGCUUGUGGAACCUCAAUCUCCAUGGGCUUAUUACCUAAAUGGCAAUUGGCACAUACAAUACGCCCAGUCGCUUCUCGUGGAUUUUCAUAACCCUGCUGUGCAAAAAUGGGAUAUGCACUUGAAAUGGAUGUCCGAGUUAAGAUAUAUAUCAUGAGCGAUACGGAAAUAGAUCGAGUAAUCUGUUUCUUUAGCCAAGAAAAAGCAUUUCUAGUUUGCAUGGUCCAAUCAUUGAUCGCGAAAAUUUCUACAAUAAAUUGGGUAGGUCGCUAGUAUAGUUCCCUAUCCACGAUUCUACUAUUUACUGGAAUAAUCUAGAAAUAAUAUAGGAUGAAUCUUCCUGAUGGUUAGAAAUAGAAAGAUAAAAUACGAUUUUCAAUACUUUUCUUAUGUUCAACUACAAAGUACCAAGCAUUCGAAUUGGAUUAGAUUAGUAUCAAUGGAUCCUUUAUUAGUCAUUCAUUGAAUGAUAAAUAACUACAAGUGACGGAGAUAGGAGAUUUAAAUAACGGAAAAUCCAAUAUUUAAAAAUUGUAUCAAGAAUGACUGGGAAGGAAGAAACAAGACCAGAUAUAAUUUGAUCAUUAUGAACAAACCCAAAAUCUUUAUAGAUAGAGCCAAUAAUUAAUUCCCAACCGCGGGGUGAAUGGAAUCCGAUACAUAAAUCAGUUAAUAAAAGAAUAGAAAAAGCUUUUACUGUGUCACUUACGUUAUAUAGGAAUUCCUGAGCCCAAGAGUUAAGAAUAAUUAAGAAUAAUAAGUUUUUCAGUACCCAAAAUUGAAUACCCACUUAGAAUAAUAAAACAGAUGAUAUUUGUUGAGAAGUGAAAAAUCAUAUGGAUACAAUUCCCAUUUUGCGUCUUGAUUAAUUGGAUCGUUUCUUUAUGGAUUCCAAUCCCAAACUCUUCGAGAUGUGUUUCUGAGUAUUCCUUGAUCAUUUCGUCUAAGAAGAGGUGUUCCUCUAAUUCUAUGAAUUUUUCUAGAAGACUCUUUUCUUAAAUAGUAUUCAAGAAAAUUUUGGAUUGCCCAGUAUUCCACCAAUUAGUAACCCAAGAUUCCAGACAUUUAUUAACUGAGAAAGAAAUCCACCAGGGAAAAAAUACUAUAUAUGCAAGAUAGAAAAGAGGGGUGAAUGCUUUCUUUUUUGCCAUUUUUUCAUCUGUGAAUUGUUAAUCAACCCAUCCGUACACUCUAUGCGAUCGAAUAUUUCUUACACACAUGAGUUUUAUACAAGGUAUCGAACUUAUGAAUCUAUUUUCUUUGUGAUUUUGUGGUUAGUAUUUGAAUCUAGAAAGAAUAUAGAAAUAGGCUAAGAAUUCACUUCGAAUGAAGAAAUUGAGAAUAUUGUUUCCUGAUAUCUCAAUUGGUCAAAUUCAAAAUCAAGUGUCUCCUUUCGAUGAAUGAUCGAAAGAACCACUUUAAGUAAUGAAUAUUGUUCAGAUUUUGAGAAGAAAGAACUCCCUUGCUAUCAAAAUAUCCAAUAUUUCGAAAAAAUUUCACUAAUUACCCAUAGUCAGGAAUAGAAUAAUUGAGGGAAAGAUAUUACGAUGAUAAAAAAAAAUGACUGGCAAAAGAUAAAUUGGCUAGUUCUCAUUAUUUAAUUAAGAAAUCCAAUUGUUGGUCAUUAAAGAAUACAAAAGAAAGAAUUUCCAAUUUACAAGAUAUGAUCUAUCUGGAUCUAAAGUGUCAAUUCCAACAAAUAUUGAACUAAAAAAAAUUUCUUGAUUUCGAAAUGGUUUGCCAUCUGAGAUGAAUCUAUUAUUUCGAUUUGUUAUUUGUUAUUGAAUUGCGUGGGUUUACAUACGCAUAAAGACCAUAAAAAGAGUUUCGUUUUAUGGUUCUUUCAUAUACGUUUUCUUUAAUUGAAUGAACGUUCUGAUUCUCAAUUUCUCAAAAUACUUCAAUUGGUACACGCAAGAAAUAGGCUAAUUCAGCAGCCUUUUGUUCAAUUUCUCGUGGAGUCAAAUUCUCAUCAGUACGGGUUAAGGGAAUGGACCCCUGGCCUCGGAUGUCCAUAUAAAGAACACGACGAGCAUAAAUACCCUCUUUAACUUCUAUUCUAACGGACUGAAUAUCUUUUAUAAGGAAUCGGAGGAAUAUGCGACGAUUUUUUCCCGGAAAUCCCCAACGAAAAAUACAGACUAUUCCUUCCUUUAUAUCGAAUCGAUCAUAACCACUACCUACAUUCCAGGAAAUUGUGCACCACAAAUAAGAGCUAAUAAAGAGACCCGCAAUUCCGUAGAAAGACAUCACGAUUCCUUGUGGAAAAAAAAUGAUUUGCUGAGGCGGAAAAAAAGAUAUCAAAUUUCUACCAAGAUAACUGGAAGUUCCAACUAAUAAGAAGCCUAAUGAACCUAAAAAAAGGAUAAAGGCCCAGCAGAAAUUACUUAUUUUUCGAGACCCCGUUAUAAGUUCUAUCCAUAUAUGUUCUGAUCGCCAAGUCAUACUUUACCCGAUUGCAUUUUAUUAGAAUUGAGAUAAUACCCCAUAGAAAUUUGACUUUACUUUUUUGUUUCCGAAGUAACUCUCAUCAACUAGCACUAGUUUGAGGUGAACUAGCACUAGUUUGAUGUCAACCUUUAGGAGUAAUUCAUCAAAUUGGUUAAAUCUAAAAUAAUAACAUACUCUUUAUUUAAUACGAUCCCACUAUACAUAUCGAUAUACAUAGAGAUUAACCGACUACAUUUCAGCCAUCCAGUGAUCCUGAUCUAUUUGAAAAUUACUAGAAUGGAUAUAUCCAUAUAUCAUGUUUCUGCAGGCAUAAGAGUUUUUUCCUUUAUGUUCGGUAGAAAUCACAUGUUAUACUCUAUUCCAAUAAAUAGAUAUCCGUGUUAUGAUACAAGUCCACGUUUUCAAAAAAAAAUGGAUGAGAUUGGGUCCCAGCGUAUCUAAACAAUCUUGUUUUUUUGAACAUGAAUAAAUAAAGAAGCCAUUGCAAUUGCCGGAAAGACUAGGCCUACUAACGGCACAAAAAUAGAUGGAAGGUUCAAAUUUGUCAUAGAAGGGGUACCUCGAUUUACUAUAUUGUAUCUGUUAUUAUGUUAUUAUAUAAAUAAAGAUAUCUUGUAAUAAUUAAAUAAUUAUAAUUAAAUUAAGAAUUUGAAUUCUAAUUAGAUAAUAUUUAUUAUUAAUAGAAUUUGAAGAAUUUGAAAUUCUUAGUAUAGAUCUAAGUAUCUAUAUAUCUAAAUCUAACUGAGUACGUAUAAUAAGAAUAAGUGCAAAGAAUGUAGAACUAAAUAAAUGGACUUAUUCAUCUCUUACAUGAGAAAGAUAUGUAUCAUAAUAAACUUUAUUAUUCAUUUCUUUGUCUUUUGUUCUUGUCUUCUAAUUUUCUAAAAAUAGAUAAAGAGAUUAUCGAAAGAUUCGUUCGAAUCCGACCCAACAUGAAUUUUUAGCUAAAAUGGUUUUUAGGGAGAUAGAGAAAGAUACAAAACUCUAUUAUCUAUAUUUUAAUUUCAAAUUAUAUACCUAAGACAAGAAGAAAUUCGUUUUAUUUUCCUAAUUUCACGAAAGGAAGAACUCACUCUUGGUGAUAAAGGCUUCUUGAUUCGUAAUCAGGAAUAUAGGUCAAAAAAGAGUUAUCCUCAACUUUAGUUUUGAUUCUUUCUACAAUUAGAUCUUCUAUCACCAAAGAAAGGGCCAUUAUUAUCUUAUUUACUUUAUCUUAUUUACUUUGAUUCCGAUAAACUAACUACUUUUUUGCUACAAACACAAAUAAAAUAAAAUAAUGGCCUUAGUGCUCUACUUGAUUUUGCUUGACUUUUGAUUCAAAGGAAAAAAGGCGUGGAGCUUAAAUAACUCACUCAGAACGCUUUUUAAAAGAUUACGUGGUACAAUUAGGUCGAAUAAACCCUUCUGGAAUAAGUAUUCAGCUACUUGUGAACCUUCGGGUACUGUUUUAUUCAAUGUUUGUUCAAUUACUCUUUUACCUGCAAAUGCAAUGUAGGCAUUGGGUUCGGCAAUAAUGAUAUCCCCCAACAUACCAAAACUAGCUGUCACUCCACCAGUUGUCGGAGAUGUAAGGAUUGAUACAUAAAAUAAUUUUUUAUUUAAUUGAUAAUCAUAUAAAGCAGACGAUAUUUUAGCCAUUUGCAUCAAGCUCAAACUUCCUUCCUGCAUGCGCGCCCCCCCAGAAGCACACACUAUAAUAAGAGGUAAAAUUUGAUUGGCAGCGUGUUCAAUCAAACGGGUGAUUUUCUCUCCGACUACGGAUCCCAUACUACCCCCCAUAAACUGAAAAUCCAUAACCCCAAUUGCUACGGGAAUGCCGUUUAUUUGGCCUAUGCCUGUUUGAACAGCCUCGGUUAAUCCUGUCUUUCUUUGAUAAGAAUCAAUACGAUCUUUAUAAGGCUCCUCUUCCGAAUGAAAUUCAAUGGGAUCCAGAGAGACCAUGUCUUCAUCCAUAGGAUCCCAAGUACCCGGAUCGACCAAAAGUUCAAUUCUGUCCGAACUACUCAUUUUCAAAUGAUAUCCACAUUGUUCACAAAUAUUCAUUUUUGAUUUAAAAAAUUUCUUAUAAUUUAAUCCAUAACAAUUCUCGCAUUGAACCCACAAAUGCCUGUAUUUUUGAGUUACCUCGAGAUCAUUAGAACUUUCUCUUAUAGUUAAAUCACUGCCAUUAGUUAAAUCACUGCCAAUAGUUAAAACACUGCCAUUAGAACUUUCUCUUAUAGUUAAAUCACUACCGUUAGAACUUUCUCUUAUAGUUAAAUCACUGCCAAUAGUUAAAUCACUGCCAAUAGAUAAAUCACUACCAUUAGAACUUUCUCUUAUAGUUAAAUCAUUGCCCUUUGUGCGAGUUUGUAUACUGGAACCCUCAUUUUCACUACUAUUUUUACUUUCACCACCACAAACGGCCCUAUAAAUGUAACUGUCACUGUAAUUCUCACUACCACUUAUAAUGGAAGUGUCGAUACAGAUUUGAGACUGAAGAUAAUUAUCAAUGCAACUAUUUAUGUGAUUAUUCCAACUAUAUUGAGUAUCAUACAUGUAAAAAUUAUAGUAAGGAUCUUCGCCCCUAAAUCCAUUAUUCAGAUAACUUGAGUUUCGGUAACUGUAAAAAGAACUUUCUAGUUCACGCAGAAAAGAAUGAUCAUUGUCAAUCUCAAAAAUCUGAUUGUCAAUAUCAAAAUAGAUGGAAUAAUUGUCUCCAUUCCUAUCACUAACAACAAAAGUGUCAUCAGAGAUGAAAUUUCGAAUGUCGUUAACGCGGAAUAAAUAAUCAGCAUUAUUGCAACUAGGAAUGUUUUUAACUUUUUGAUUUGGAUCUUCACUGGUAUUUUCAAUAGGACCAAGACUGCCCAUUGAUUUAUUUAGCCCACACCUAUGUUCGAACACCUUCUUAAACAACAUCGAAUUAAACCACCAUCUUUCCAUAAAGUUUUCUUGCCCCAUAUUUGCAUGAAAAUACAAUAGAUGAAUAGUCAUUCGCUAUAAAAUUAUUUAUUUGAAUAUCGUAUUUCCUAUCAGACUAAACAUAGAAAUCUAAUCACUAGGAUUAUUAGUAGGAUUAUUAGUGAGUAUUGAGAAAAAGUUCUGAAUCUGGGGGAACACUUCACUAUAUAUUAAUAUGUCGGAACCCCCUUUUAUUAUUUUAUUAUUAAAAAUAAUAUAAAUAUAAUAAUAUAAUUUUUGAUAAGGGGCGGCUUCUCCUAUGUCGUGUCAAAUUCGCAUCGAAAAAAAGAGAUUUGUCCUCUCCUAUACUCCUAUAAAGAAAUCAAAAAAAUUUUCUUAAAAUCUCGUCUAAUACUAAUAUCUAAUCACUAACUAAUCUAAAAUCUAAUAAAAUAAUAAGUAAUAAAUUAAGCUUCCAUUUCAACACGGAACGGAACAAAGGGGACAAUAUACAGGAUGGGUAGAAAGAGUUGUGCUACUUGGCUUGAUUCAGGGAAACUACAAACUACAGGAUAGAAAAAAAUAUACCAAUCCUAAGAAUCCGUAGGAUUUAUUGUGGAUCCAAGACAACAAUAGAAAGAUUUGAGUCUUACAUUUUUAUUUAGUUUUCUAGAUUUUGUAUUUCAAAUCUUGUAUAUCUAGGUAAGUAUAUACUUAGUCAAAAUAUAUGCAAUAGAAUUUUUGUUGUAUUCGACUCAAUCCUUUUAGUAAAAGAUUAGGCCGAAUUUAAUUGCAAUUAAUUGCAAUUCAAUUAAGAGAACGAAGGAUAACUACUUGAGUUCUUUCUCCUUAUCCUUCAUUAUUUCUUGCUAAUUUAUCUGCUAAUGUCUACUGUUUUUACUUAUCCAAAACGUCCACUGCUGCAAAAUUAAAUACGAUCUCUUUCCAUACCUCACAAGCAGCAGCUAGUUCCAGGAUCCAUUUGGAAGCCUCGCGAAUAAUCUCAUUACCUUCUCGAGUAAGAUCGCGUCCUUUAUUACGAGAUUUUACACAUGCUUCUAGAGCAACUCGAUUAGCUACGGCACCUGGCGCAUUACCCUAAGGAUGUCCUAAAGUUCCUCCACCGAACUGUAGUAUGGAAUUAUCCCCAAAGAUCUCAGUCAGAGCCGGCAUAUGCCAAACAUGAAUACCUCUUGAAGCCACAGGUAGAACACCUAGUAAAGAGACCCAAUCUUGAGUGAAAUAAAUUCCAUGACUUAGAUCUUGUUCAACAAAAUCAUCAUGCAAUAAAUCAACAAAGCCCAAAGUUAUGUCUAUUUCACCUUCAAGUUUACCUACUACUGUACUAGCGUGAAUAUGAUCUCUAAAAGACAUACGUAACGCUUUUGCUAAUACCCGAAAGUACAUACGAUAAUUCUUCUGUCUAUCAAUAACCGCAUGCAUUGCACGGUGGAUAUGAAAAAGUAGACCAUUAUAUCAGCAAUAAUGAGUCAAGCUAGUAUUUGCGGUGAAUUCCCCCCGUUAAGUAGUUAUGCAUUACGAUCGGAACACCUAAUUCUCUAGCAAAUACAGCUCUUUUCAUCAUUUCUUCCCAUGUACCUGCAGUAGCAUUCAUGUAAUGCCCUUUGAUUUCACCUCUUUCAGUCUGUGCUUUAAAAAGUGCUUCAGUACAAAAUAAGAAACAAUCUCUCCAAUGCAUAAAUGGUUGUGAGUUCACGUUCUUAUCAUCUUUGGUAAAAUCAAGUCCGCCGUGAAGACAUUCAUAAAUAGCUCUACAGUAUUUUUUAGCAGAUAAACCCAAUUUAGGUUUAAUAGUACAUCCCAACAGAGGAAGACCGUAACUGUUUAAUUUAUCUCUUUCACCUUGGAUCCCAUAAGGCGGACCUUGGAAAGUUUUAAUAUAAGCAGUAGGGCCUCGCAGAUCUUCCGGACAUAGAGCGCACAGGGCUUUGAACCCAAAUACAUUACCUACAAUGGAAGUAAACAUGUAGGUAACGGAACCUUCUUUAAAAAGGUCUAAAGGGUAAGCUACAUAAGCAAUAUAUUGAUCUUUUUCUCCAACAACAUGCUCGAUGCGGUAGCAUCGCCCUUUGUAAUGAUCAAUACUGGUAAGUCCAUUGGUCCAUACAGUUGUCCAUGUACCAGUAGAAGAUUCGGCAGCUACCACGGCCCCUGCUUCUUCAGCUGGAACUCUAGGUUGAGGAAUUACUCGGAAUGCUGCCAAUAUAUCAGUAUCCUUGGUUUGGUACUCAAUAGUAUAAUAAGUCAAUUUGUACUCUUUAACACCAGCUUUGAAUCCAACACUUUCUUUAGUCUCUAUUUGUGGUGACAUAAAUCCCUCCCUACAACUCAUGAAUUAAGAAUUCUCACAACAACAAGGUCUACUCGACACGAAUUACGCGUUAAUGAAACUUUUCACAGGAAUCUUUCAGAAAAUUUCCAACUAAUACUAAUAUUAUCAAUUAAUCAGAAUGGUUGAUUAUUAGACCAUGGUAUUUGAUUUGCCAAAUACAUCAUUAUUGUAUACUCUUUCAUAUAUAUAGCGCAACCCAAUUUUGAUUUUUUACCUUUUUUUUUGAAAUGGAAAUACCUAACUAAACUAAAUAAUAAGAACUUCCCCCUUGACAGUGGUAUAUGUUGUAUAUGUAAAUCCUAAAUGUGAAAAUAUAUGGAAUUCCGCUAUGAAAGGUAUAAAAAAGAAAGAAAAACGCAAAGAAAAGAAUAGGCUAGGCAUAAAUCAAUAUGCUGAAAUUUAACUAAAAAAUAAAUAAGAAAAAUAAGAAGAGGAGCCCAUUAGAUCCAAAUAGUGAAUCGUAAUAGAAAUAUAAAAUAAAGUUCAGGUUCGAAUUCCAUAGAAUAGAUAAUAUGGAUGGGAUUGUCUAUAAUGAUAGACAAAUGAAAGACUUUCUCAAGAUUCUGAUUCAUCCACUUGAGAUUUUUAAAUUAAAAUAGGUUGGGUGAGCUUGCAAGUUAACUCAAUCUCAUUGAAUAAGUAAACAAUUGGAUUGGUUCAAUUGCAUGGUGCCAACAAAAUCGAGUUCUAAUUCCCAUUUUAUUGAAUUAACCGAUCGAUGUGCUAUCGAACAUUUACUUUGAAUUCGAUAAUUUUUGAAAAAAUAUUUGGACAUAUUUAUUUAUUUUAUUAUUAUGAGAAUCAAUCCUACUACUUCUGGUUCUUGGGUUUCCACGCUUGAAAAAAAAAACCUGGGGCGUCUCAUCUAAAUCAUCGGUCCGGUACUAGAUGUAGCCUUUCCCCCGGGCAAGAUGCCGAAUAUUUAUAACGCUCUCGUAGUUCAAGGUCGAGAUAGUGUUGAUCAACCAAUUAUGGGGCUUGUGAGGUACAACAAUUAUUAGGAAAUAAUCGAGUUAGAGCUGUAGCUAUAAGUGCUACAGAUGGUUUAACGAGAGGAAUGGAAGUGAUUGACACAGGAGCUCCUAUAAGUGUUCUGGUCGAGGGGGCAACUCUGGGAUAAAUUUUUAAUGUUCUCAGAGAGCCUGUUGAUAAUUUAGGGCCUGUAGACAAGUACAACAUCUCCUAUUCAUAGAUCUGCACCCACCUUUAUACAGUUGGAUACAAAAUUAUCUAUUUUUGAAACAGGAAUUAAAGUAGUAGAUCUUUUAGACCCUUAUCGCCGUGGAUGGAAAAUCAGACUAUUUGGGGGAGCUGGAGUGGGUAAAACAGUACUCAUUAUGGAAUUGAUUAACAAUAUUACUAAAGUUCACGGGGGCGUAUCCAUAUUUGGUGGAGUGGGUGAACGUACUCGGGAAGGAAAUGAUCUUUACAUGGAAAUGAAAGAAUCUGGAGUGAUUAAUGAAGAAAAUAUUGCAGAAUCAAAAGUGGCCCUAGUUUAUGGUCAAAUGAAUGAACCACAAGGAGCUCGUAUGAGAGUAGGUUUGACUACCCUAACUAUGGCAGAAAAUUUCCUAGAUGUUAAUGAGCAAGAUGUACUUCUAUUUAUUGAUAAUAUCUUCCAUUUCGUCCAUACCUUCCGCUUUGGGUUAUCAACCGACCCUAAGUACUGAAAUGGGCUCUUUAUAAGAAAGAAUUACUUCUACCAAAGAAGGGUCCAUAGCCUCUAUUCAAGCAGUUUAUGUACCCGCUGACAAUUUGACCGACCCUACUCCUGCUAUGACAUUUGCACAUUUAGAUGCUACCGUACUAUCAAGAGGAUUGGCUGCCAAAGGUAUUUAUCCAGCAGUAGAUCCUUUAGAUUCAACAUCAACCAUGAUUCAACCUCAGAUCGUUGGUGAAGAACAUUACGAAAACGCCCAACGAGUUAAGUAAACUUUACAACGUUACAAAGAACUUCAGGACAUUAUAGCUAUCCUUGGAUUGGAUGAAUUAUCUGAAGAGGAUCAUUUACUCGUAGCAAGAGAGCAAAAAAUUGAGCGUUUCUUAUCACAACCCUUUUUCGUAGCAGAAGUAUUUACCGGUUCUAUAGGGAAAUAUGUCGGUCUAGCAGAAACAAUUCAAGGAAUUCAAUCGAUCCUUUCCAGAGAAUUAGAUGGGCUUCUUGAACAGGCCUUUUAUUUAGUAGGUAAUAUUGAUGAAGCUACCGCGAAGGCUAUGAACUUAGAAAUGGAGAGCAAUUUGAAGAAAUGACCUUAAAUCUUAGUGUACUGACUCCUAAUCGAAUUUUUUGGGAUUCAGAAGUGGAAGAAAUCGUGUUAUCUACUAAUAGUGGUCAAAUUGGCAUAUUACCAAAUGACGCCCCUAUUGCCACAGCUAUAGAUAUAGGGAUUUUGCGAAUACGCCUUAACAAUCGAUGGUUAACGAUGGCUCUGAUGGGUGGUUUUGCUAGAAUAGGCAAUAAUGAGAUCACUAUUUUAGUAAAUUAUGUGGAGAAGGGUAGUGACAUUGAUCCACAAGAAGCUCAACAAAAUCUUGAAAUAACGAAGGAUAAUGUGAAAAAGGCUGAAGGAAGGAGACAAAAAAUUAAGGCAAAUCUAGCUCUCCGACGAGCUAGAACACGGGUGGAGGCUAUCAAUCCGAUUUCAUAACUAGUUAGUACGACUAGUUAGUACAUUCGAAUAAUAGAAAGAAGUUCUCUUUCUAAACCUAUUUAGAUUCUGUUGGGUGAAUACAAUCAAAUACAAUCAAAUAGAAGCCAAUUCUGAUGCAAAAAUUCAAAUUUAAAAAUGAAAUAGAAAAGAUACAAAAUCAAAAAAUAAAUAUCACUAAAGGUGGGUCGUAAACCUUAUUAGAUACCAUUGACUCUGGUAUCUAAUAAGUUUUACCUACUAUUGGAUUUGAACCAAUGACUCCCGCCGUAUGAAAGCAGUACUCUAACCACUGAGUUAAGUAGGUCAUUUAUCAUUCCAAAGAGAACCAAACGAAACCCAUCCUGUCGAUGGAUUAUAAAUAUCAUAUUACUUAUAAGCAAUACUAAUCUAAUAAGCAAUACUAAUCUAAGGAAUACCACUCAAAGAGAUCAAAGAUUGUUGAUGUUGGAUCAUGGAAUAUUUAUCUUGACAAGAAUUUAUCUACAUGAUAAAAUAUGUAUCACAAGCACUAAGGGCUAUAGCUCAGUUGGUAGAGCAACUCGUUUACACGCGCGCCAAUGUUUUUCAAGGGAGUUCAUCAUACAAUCAGAAAAAUCGAUCUUGUUGAGAAAUCGAUGUCUUACUCCAUAACUUUGAGGGAACCAUAGCCUGACAAAGGGUUCGGUCCAAUUUGGACGUCCAUUUAGGAGGUGCCAAACAGACCCCAUCAUUGAUUUGAGAUCUUGAUAAGGUGAAUACCCAGUCUAUUCAAUGCUAGGCAUAAUGAGAGUAUAAGGACCUCAAAAAAAUCUCUUUUCGUCAUAUGAACUUUAAGGUGUAUGAAGUUUCAUAUUUGAUUUUUUAAGCAGAAACGAUAGAGACUUCAUUUAACUUAGGUUUAUUUAGGCCAGAGACAGACCUACGUCAAGAUAAUCCCACCUUUGAAACACUUUGGUAAUGCUCCCAAAUAAUGAAUCAGAGCACAUGGAGCCAUUUCCUUAUCUUUUUUUCUGUCAAGAAAAAAAAUGGCAGACUAACUGCUAUAAAUAUCAGUUAAUGAAAGAGCCCAAUGCAAAAAAAAUGCAUGUUGGGUCUUUGAAACAGUUCAGAUCAUUUUAAUAAUAAUAAGUUUGAUCUGUUUUACCGAGAAGGUCUACGGUUCAAGUCCGUAUAGCCCUAUAAAAUAAAAUAAAAAUGAAAAAAUAAAAUUGUAUAAUUUUCAUUUCUUCAUUAUUAUUUCUUGCUUGUAACUAAGUGAAAUUCAACUAUUCCUAUAAGUUUACUCACGGCAAUCGUUUAAGUUUAAGCAGAUGAAAGAAAAAACGCAUAUCAAUGGAUCCAAUCGAUAUUUAUUUUUUCAAUUGCAGAUAAACAAACCAACCUUUCGUCAUUAAUCUUCGGAGGCGAAUUACAUAUUCAUAUCCACAAUAAAAGAAUUAGUGAGACCCCCUUUCUUUUGAUAUCCCCAAUCUUAUUGAAUUUUGGAAGUCAAAUCAUUUCACGGGCCUGGUGAAAUGAAAAACUACGAAGAGGAAUUCACAUGGAUUUAGGAAGGGACUGCUGUAUUUGUGUACAAGCUAAAGUUUUUUGAAAAACGAAUAUCUUUGGUCACUUUCAUUAUCAAAUAGGCUUUUCCUUCGUAUACCUUACUUACCUCGACCUAGCGAAGCACAACACAAAAAAGGUAGUCUUCUUUUUCUGUAUUCAACCAAGAAAAACCCCUCCACCUGGAUUCGAAUCCUAAUACUAUUAUUAAAUAAUAAUAAAAUAAUAAAAGGAAUAUACCAACACAAGAUCUUCUAAAUCUUGAGAUGGAAGUUCCUAUACAUUCUCUUCUAUUUGAUUACUUGUUCCAUUCUAGAUCACUAAAUCACUAAGAAAAAAAAUUAAAAUAAAGACCUCCUGAUUCUAUUUAUUCUAUUUAUAGAAAAAAAUAGAAAUAUUUAAAGAAUUUCUAAUUAAAGAAGAAAAAUUAAAGAAGAACUAAGAUAAUUAAUUAAUUUAGAAUUCCCCGUCUUUAGUUUAGAGAAAAAAACAAGAGAAAGAGGAGAAUUUGUAUAAGAGUAAUAUAUAGUUAGAAGGUUCUACUAACUAAAUAAAAUGGAAAUAAGUAUAAUGGAAAUAAAAUCGGAUUCCAGUCGAUGAAUCUUGCAAUGAGAUAUGCCCUACAAUAAACCAAUAAACAAAGCCAAACUAGGCGGUUCGACCAAAAUGAAUUCUUGUUUUGACUAAUAUAGUUAUGGAUGGCUUGACAAUUACAAUUCGAAUCGACCAAUCGAAUCCGGUAUAUUUUCCACGUUCAUAGGAGUGCGUUUAUGUUUCUGCUUUACGAAUAUGAUUUUUUUUGGGCAUUUCUAAUAAUAUCCAUCCUUGUUCCUAUUUUGGCAUUUUUCAUUUCCGGAGUGUUAGCCCCGAUUAGCAAAGGGCCGGAGAAACUUUCUACUUAUGAGUCGGGUAUAGAACCAAUGGGUGAUGCUUGGUUACAAUUUCGAAUCCGUUAUUAUAUGUUUGCUCUAGUUUUUGUUGUUUUUGAUGUUGAAACGGUUUUUUUUGUUGUUUUUGAUGUUGAAAUGGUUUUUCUUUAUCCAUGGGCAAUGAGUUUCGACGUAUUGGGUGUAUUUGUAUUUAUAGAAUCUUUGAUUUUCGUGCUUAUCUUAAUUAUUGGUUUAGUUUAUGCAUGGCGAAAGGGGGCAUUGGAAUGGUCUUAGCUCCUGAAUAUUCAGACAAUAAAAAGAAAAACGGAAAAAAUAAGAUUGAGACAGUUAUGAAUUCUAUUCAGUUUCCUUUACUUGAUCGAACAGCCCCAAAUUCAGUUAUUUCAACUACAUUAAAUGAUAUUUCAAAUUGGUCAAGACUCUCUAGUUUAUGGUCGUUUCUCUAUGGUACCAGUUGUUGCUUCAUUGAAUUUGCUUUACUAAUAGGCUCACGCUUCGACUUAGAUCAUUAUGGACUAGUACCAAGAUCGAGUCCUAGACAAGCAGAUCUAAUUUUAACGGCUGGAAUAGUAACAAUGAAAAUGGGCCCCUCUUUAGUGAGAUUAUAUGAGCAAAUGCCUGAACCAAAAUAUGUUAUUGCUAUGGGAACCUGUACAAUUACAGGCAGGAUAUUCAGUACCGAUUCUUAUAGUACUGUUUGGGGAGUCGAUAAGCUAAUUCCUGUAGAUGUAUAUUUGCCAGGUUGCCCACCUAAAUUGGAAGCGGUUAUAGAUGCUAUAACAUAACUUCAUAAGAAAAUAUCUCGAGAACUCUAUGAAGAUCGAAUUAGGUCUCAAUGAGGGAAUCGGUGUUUUACUACCAAUCACAAGUUUCAUGUUCGAUACAGUAUUCAUACGGGAAAUUAUGAUCAAAGAGUUCUUUAUCAACCACCAUCUACUUCAGAGAUCCCUACGGAAAUCUUUUCCAAAUACAAAAAUUCAGUAUCUUCCCCCGAAUUAGUGAAUUAGACAGGAUUCCUUUGUCCAGAAUAAGAAGUGGUGGGUCAAUUUUCAUAAAUUUAAUCAUAAAUGUGAAAUACUUAUACAAAUAAAAAUACGGGAGAGAUAAAAAAGAUACAGGGUCAUUUGUCUGCUUGGCUAGUCAAGAAUGGGCUAAUUCAUAGAUCUUUGGGCUUUGAUUACCAAGGAAUAGAGACUUUAGAAAUAAAUCUUGAGGAUUGGCAUUCCAUUGCCGUCAUUUUUUAUGUAUAUGAGGUACAAUUAUCUCCGCUCUCAAUGUGCCUAUGAUGUAGUGCCUGGCGGGCUGUUAGCUAGUGUGUAUCAUCUUAUGAGAAUAGAGGAUGGUGUGGAUCAACCAGAAGAGGUAUGCAUAAAAGUCUUUGCCUCCCGUAGGAAUCCUAGAAUUUCGUUUGUUUUUUGGGUUUGGAAAAACGUGGAUUUUCAAGAACAAGAAUCAUAUGAUAUGUUGGGAAUUCUUAUGAUAAUCAUACAUGCUUGAAACGUAUUUUAAUACCUAAUAGUUAGAUAGGAUGGCCCUUACGUAAGGAUUAUAUUGCCCCUAAUUUUUAUGAAAUACAAGAUGAUCAUUGAAUAAUGAGAAAGCUAUUUCCACUUAGACAAUUUAAGAUAUUCAAGGAUUGUACGUUCUAUUCUAGAUUAAGCAGGUCUAAUUUAGGGAAUUAUCAAUAGGCUAACAAAAAAAAGACAAUUAGGGAUUCAUUGUAAUUAUCACAUUUAUUUGGAAGAUACUUAUUUCGGAUGGGUCAUACUAAUAGGAUGAACCAAAUGAGUUCUGCAUCAUGAACUUUGUACUGUGCACAUUACUUAGAAGGGUUCUAGAAGGGUAUAUAGGAAGGGAUGGAGAAAUCCGAAAUGAAGAAAUUGAAUAUGAAAGAAAAGACAAAGAAAUGAUAGAAUAUCAAAUUCUAUUUCCUUGGAUCUGAGCUGAAUCUUGUCUAUUUCAACCCCCCUGGAUUCGACUUUUGAGCCUUUUUCAACAAUUAACCAAUUUUACCUUUUGAAUAUGUAUUAUGUAUUAAAAUUAGUUUGAACGAGAGGAGAGAAAAAAAAGAGAUAGAAUCCAAUUCUUUUCAAAACUUUAUCUAAGAAACUCUACCCAUAUAGAACAUAGUAUGGGGUAUAUCUCGCCAAACUGGAUAAAGCUAUUAUUCUAAUCUAGACUCUAAAAGAAUAUGUAUGUUGAUUCAUAUCAAUUAAUUAGAAAUUAAUUCUAGUGAAGAGAGACCCAUACAAAUUAAUCAUGUGCCAGGAACCAGAUUUGAACUGGUGACACGAGGAUUUUCAGUCCUCUGCUCUACCAACUGAGCUAUCCCGGCUAUUCCCAAUCCAGAUUUUUUAUCAAGGUUGGGACUGGUAACCCAAGGAUUUUCAGGGCUAUACCAAUCCCAAUUGGAACCUCGAACAUGAGAAUUUUAAGUCCCCGUUAACUGGAGGAUUUAGAGUCCUCUGGUCUUCCCAAUUGGAACCGUUCGUUAACAUGAGGAUUUUUAGUUUUCUGCUUGUUACUCAGUUCUCUGCUUGUUACUCUAAUUUUAUCUUAACAAAUUUGAUCUUAACACAUAAACGGGUCUUUGUCAAUAGGUCUUUGUCAAUUAAAAGGACAAAAGUCGAUUAAAAAAUUUUAUCAAAGCCGGGGAAUUUCUUCGAUCUUCAAAAAGAUGACUUUGUAAGUUUCAGUAUUGAGUAAUGAUAUUGGUAAUCAUUCAACUAGGGAUUCCUUGCUCAAAGAUGUUCAGUUCUAUGUGUAUCAUAUAUAUCACAAGGCUUAAGAGAAAGCCAUUUACGCUAAAAUCCAUUUCUAAAAGAAAAAUCCAUUUCUAAAAGAAUAGAGUGAAUGAGAAAGAUAAGUAAUUUGGAACUGCUAAGGAAAGGGGGUCGGAGAAAUAGUUGGGGGUUGAAAUAGUCUUUUUGGGGAUAGAGGGACUUGAACCCUCACGAUUUUAAAAGUCGACGGAUUUUCCUCUUACUAUAAAUUUCAUUGUUGCCGGUAUUGACAUGUAGAACGGGACUCUAUCUUUAUUCUCGUCCGAUUAAUCAGUUCUUCAAAAGAUCUAUCAGACUAUGGAGUGAAUGAUUUGAUCAGGGAUUCGGGUCGUCAUUAAUCAUUUGAUAUAGUAUUCAAUACGUAUGUAUAUACGUUUAUCCUUCACUUCAUUCUUUUUCUUUCUGAAGUUUCGAUGUAAAGAUUCCUCUACCAACACAUUUAACUCCAUUUGUUAGAAUAGCUUCCAUUGAGUCUCUGCACCUAUCCUUUUUUUCUGAACCUUUAUUUGUUUUCAGAAAAUAGGAUUUGGCUCAGGAUUGCCCAUUUUUGUUCAUUCCAGGGUUUCUCUGAAUUUGAAAGUGAUCACUUAGUAAGUUUCCAUACCAAGGCUCAAUCCAAUUAAGUCCGUAGCGUCUACCGAUUUCGCCAUAUCCCCCUUUCUUUUUGUUUUGAGAUUAGGAUCUCGUUGUGAUGUCAUUCCUUUUUCUUUUUCUUUCAUUUAUACUGGAACCAUUGAAUUCAUUAGAUACCGAUUCCUAUCUCGAAAACGUGUUUUCUCCUCUUUGAUUUUCUUAACUAUCUUCUAUAGGCGACCUUUUUUUAUCCAAUCAAAAAUGAUUUUAUCAUUUCGGAAUCCGCAAUUCAAUAUAGAUGGAUCUAUACCCCAUCUAUAUGUCCCUCUUCCUGUCAUUUUGCCAUUCAAUUUGGAAUACUUGAACGAUCGAUUCUUGUUUUUUAUCUUCACUUUCGCCUGAAAGCGGAGGAAUGUCUCAUUAAUUAUAACUAACCAUUCCAUUAAACAAUUUUUAAAUAAAUAUAGAAUGAGAGAUAUAUAUGAUAUAGAAUCAAAUAUAGAACUGUAAUAAAAAAGAUUUCAAAUGCCAAAAAAAGAAAUGAAAAAGAAUAUUUACCAUUCAAAUUGAAAAUGAAAAUAAAAAGAAUAUUAACAAUAUUUGCAAUCACUAUUUAAUGAUAUUAGUAUUAGAAUUGUUAUUAGAAUUGUGAUAAAUCGAAAUUCUAGAUCGCUAUAGUAAUCCUUAUGCUCUAGAAUCUAGAAUAUUCAAUAUAAUAUUGAAUAGUUAAUAAUUCCAAUUCCAGUAGUUUAGGCAAUUACUAUGCAUAUAAGAUUUCUGUGAUGUGGGCCCGCUUAGCUCAGAGGUUAGAGCAUCGCAUUUGUAAUGCGAUGGUCAUCGGUUCGAUUCCGAUAGCCGGCUUUUCCCUAUUCUUUGAUUUCAAAGAAACAUUAUCAAUCAUCUAAAAAAUGGAAAAAAAAGAAUAGGGAAAUAGCGCCUUCCUCCUUUUCCAAAAGCUAUCAAUUUAUUAUAGGAACUUCCAAUUAUGUCAGGAAAGGAUUAUAUAUAUAAUAGAAGGGGUUCUGUAUAUUUAUCCAAUUCACCCCAUUCUUCUUUUCUUUAUAGUAUUUAUAUUAAAUAGUAAUAGUACAAGUACACUAUUUCAGUAAACUUCGCUUCAUUUAGUUCAGUUUAGUUUUAGUUUAGGUUUAUUCUGUAAAAUAAAAUUCAAUAAAAAAUAAAUAGAAAUAAGAAUUAAUUCGAAAUACUAAAUAAGAAAUAAGAAUAAGGAGUCUUUAUGUCGCGUUACCGAGGACCUCGUUUCAAAAAAAUACGACGCCUGGGGGCUUUACCAGGACUAACUAAUAAAAAGCCUAGGACCGGAAAUGAUCUUAGAAACCAAUCGCGUUCCGGAAAAAAAUCUCAAUAUCGUAUUCGUCUAGAAGAAAAACAAAAAUUGCGUUUUCAUUAUGGUCUUACAGAACGACAAUUACUUAAAUACGUUCGUAUCGCCAGAAAAGCCAAGGGGUCAACAGGUCAAGUUUUACUACAAUUACUUGAAAUGCGCUUGGAUAACAUCCUUUUUCGAUUGGGUAUGGCUUCAACUAUUCCCGCAGCCCGUCAAUUAGUUAACCAUCGACAUAUUUUAGUUAAUGGUCGUAUAGUAGAUAUACCGAGUUAUCGCUGCAAACCCCAAGAUAGUAUUACGGCAAAGGAUGAACAAAAAUCCAGAGCUCUGAUUCAAAUUUCUCUAGAUUCAUCCCCUCAUGAGGAAUUACCAAAUCAUUUGACCCUUCACCCAUUCCAAUAUAAAGGAUUAGUCAAUCAAAUAAUAGAUAGUAAAUGGGUCGGUUUGAAAAUAAAUGAAUUGCUAGUCGUAGAAUAUUAUUCUCGUCAGACUUAAACCUCAGACUAAAACCAAGGGUUCGUAAAAUUUUCUUCCCUUUAGGCGAAGUAAAUUAACCCAAGGUUAAGUAAGAUAAAUCCGAGUUUGAUCUGGAUUUCCCCCAUUUUUGUAUCAUAGACCAAGGAUCUAUUUUCAUUCCUUGUUUUCAUUCCUUGUCUACUCUUUUCUUUCCAGUAUUUUGAUUAUGAUUAUUUUUUAGUAUUCUAUUUUACGCGUCAAAGCAAUUAGGAAUUGAGAAUCUAUAUCUUUAGAUCAAAGAAGGGUCUAGCUGUUGGAAUAAUGGUAUCCAUUGCUAUUUGAGCCCUUGUUGUUAGUAAAAUUGGUGAAUUAAACGAAGGUACGGAAAGAGAGGGAUUCGAACCCUCGGUAAACAAAAGCCUACAUAGCAGUUCCAAUGCUACGCCUUGAACCACUCGGCCAUCUCUCCUACAUAAUGAUUAUGACCCCAAAACCGAGUGAAUAGCGAGUCAGUCAUAACCCAUAUUCCAUUAUUGGACUAGGUACGACCAAUCCAUUUUAACUUUAACUGAAAAUUUUUCAUCAAAGUCAAAGCAAAGAACGAUUUUUCUUUCCUUCGAGGCUCCGGGAUAAAGAUAGAAUUUUUCGUAAAAAUUGUUAAAAAAAUUCAAUUCAUGUUUGCAAAAGCAACGUUCCCUUCUUUUUCUGAUAUUUUUAUAACGGAUUAAUUCAAUGAAUUAGAACGAAUCAACUGAUUGAUGGUCUAUAUCUUUUAGACUAUAGUUAAUGGCUACUCUUAAAUCAUAAUUCUAAUUAUAUAGAUAUAGACUAUGAUUCCAUACCAGAAAAUUUUUCAAAUUCCUUUUCGGUUUUGGAGUUCUCAACAACAAAUACCUACCCCUCUAUUAGAAUAGAAAUUCAUAAAAAAAUUUAGAUUUGAUUGUAUAGUGUAUACCCGUUAUGUACACAAAAUUGUCAGUUAUUCUAUUUUCAUCAUAGAAUGAUUAUUCGAUCUUUUUUCUUCUUUGUAAUUUGUAUCAUGAUUCAAUCAAAAUUUCUCGAGUUCUUCUAAUUUGUAACUUCACCGAAAUCGGAAUAGUUCCUAUACUACUACAUCCUAUACUACUACAUUAGUAUGAAAUCGAAUCGCGUUGAAAUAUUUCUUAUUUCUUAGCGACUCCUGUCAAAAAGGAACAAUUGGAAUAGAGGAUUCAUAUCUUUUGUUUUUUUCUUAAAAAAAAAUAAGGUUUUAUGUUAUUUCGUACUAUACAAUUCUUUUCUUUGUGGGAUCUUUUUCCCACGAGAGGUAAUGAGAAGAAUUCUAGAAUGGAUUGCUACCUAUGCCUAGAUCACGUAUAAAUGGAAAUUUUAUUGAUAAGACCUUUUCAAUUGUAGCCAAUAUCUUAUUACGAGUAAUUCCGACAACUUCAGGAGAAAAAGAGGCAUUUACCUAUUACAGAGAUGGUGCGAUUUGAUUCUUUUUUUUUUUAUUUCAUAUUUAUUCAUUUCUCUCAGUCUUACGAGGAGAAAAACACGUGAUUCGAGAAAAUUUUUGAAAAAAAAAAUCUACGCUUUUUGAAGGUGAAGUUUGGAAAUCGAACAAUUCCUUCUGUCGUGUAUCCUCGAUUAAUGCAACCUCAGAUGCUAUGUUUCAAUUCUCGAUUCUAGUAUUAAGCGAAAGGUUACGCCUAGAGGUUCUGUAUUACGGGUCAAUCCUACUCUACUAGCGCUAAUAGGCAGCAUAGGGGAAGAAGCGCUACACCUAGGAAUCAACAACACGAAAACUUUGUUCUAAGUCAGCCCUUCCCUUAGCGGGCUUGGGACUAAAAGAAUGGUUGGGACAACAAACAUCCAUCUCGUUCGUCCUUUGGAUACCCGUAUAACCAUCGAAGGCUAUUGAAGUGACUAAUUCCUGUAAAUUAGGAGGCGUUAAAAACAAAGAAAUUGUUGGAGUUAUCUUAUCAUUUCUAUUUAGUCCUAAUAGGCUUGAUGUUAAGAAAGAAUCUCUUGCAGGAAGGUUGGCUAGAGAUUUCUUGUAAAAACACUAGCCCUGCUGAGUUCAUAAUAAGAAUAUUUUCAUCAUUAAAUCUUUUUUUUUAUUCUAUGUAUUAUUCUCGUUAUGCACAUAAGGAAGGAGCCAUAUAAUUUGAAAUUCUCAUGUACAGUUCUGGAAUGGAGAUUCUUUUAAUUGAAUGACGACCGUAACGAAUGUCGGCUCAAUUCAAAGGAAAUUACGUGGAAGCUUUACAGAAUUAUUAUGAAGCUAUGUGACUAGAAAUUGAUCCCUAUGAUCAAAGUUAUAUAUUCUAUAAUAUAGGGCUUAUCCACCCAAGUAAUGAAGAACAUACGAAAGCUUUGGAAUAUUUUUUUCGAGCACUAGAACAAAACCUAUUCUUACAACAAGCUUUUAAUAAUAUGGCCGUGAUCUGUCGUUACAUGUGACUAUCUCCACUAUAGAAAGAAAAAAAGAAAAAUCUAGUAAAGUAACUACUAGAACCAAAUAGGCUUUCUACAUAUGCAUCGUCUUAUCAGCUGUAGCAAAGAAAGAAACUUCAUAGAAGUCAAAAUAGGAAAAAUAAAAAUGCUUAGCAACUUUUUCUAUGGAUAUAAGGCUUUAAUUGAUAGAGAGAGAGGAAGCACCGUAAAGAUCAAUUAGCGAGGUUUUGGGCCGAUACAAUAAUAACUGCGUACUUAUCUCAUAAUGUGAGAUAAGAAUUAGGAAUUAACUUAUGUAAUAGAGUCGAUCCACUAAAGUCUUGAGCAGCGGUGUAGGAUCAGAUCCCAAAGAUAGUAAGUAUUUUCUUUCUUAUGAAAGAAAGUCUUUUUCAAAGAUUCUAUAUAAAUUUAUCUAUGAAACCGAGAUAGUUACCUUUCAGAAAAUUCUACCAGUAGUAGAAAUGCCUAUGCUUUAUUCUUCUGAAGGUGGGAAAAAAGAUAAAACUAAAUAAACGGAUUAUUCAUCCAAAUUUCAGUUUGAAACUCAUGUAAUUAACCUAUUUUUCUUUUGGUUAACCCUAAAACUGGGAUAGAUCCAUGAGAAAUCUGAUUAGAUAGAUAUGGUAUAGAUCAAAAUGGGACACCAAAAGAAUUGACUGCUGAGCCGUAUGAGGUAAGAAAUUCUCAAGUACGGUUCUAAGGGAAGGAAUUGAACUACCUAUUCCGGCCGGGGAGAACAGGCCAUUCAACAGGGAGAUUCUGAAAUUGCAGAGGCUUGGUUCGAUCAAGCCGCUGAGUAUUGGAAACAGGCUAUAGCGCUUACUCCCGGUAAUUAUAUUGAAGCGCAUAAUUGGUUGAAGAUCACGAGACGUUUCGAAUAAAAGAAGACCCCCUUUAUUUAUUAUCCUUUAUUUAGAAUUUAGAUAUUUGUUAUAAUUAAUUGUUUGUUGGACCCAUCAGAUCAGUUAACUAAAAAACGGAUCAUUCCUUUGCUUUUGGAAGACCCAAUCACAUAAUUUCAUUAUCUCCCUUCUAAGCCUUCUAUUUCACUUCUAUAUUCAUCUGCUAUUUUUUAGGAAUAAAAAAGACAGAUAGAGGACAAAAUAGACUUCUUUUUAUUCUAUUUAUUUAUUAUUUAUUUAUUUAUAUUAAUAUAUUAAAAUUAUUUAUUUAUAUUAAAAUUAAAAUAUAUUAAAAUUAAAAUUAAAAAAUAUUAAAAUGAAAAAAUUCAAUUAAACAAAAUUCUUAUUAGUUAUUAGUAUUAAAACUAAUAAAAGAAACCCUUGAAUCACUAAAUAUAUAUAUACCGGGGAUGUCUCUUAGUAAUGUCUAAUGGCUACUAGCGUGAUUUGGAAUAGAGUAAUUACAAUCUUCUAGGUAAAAAAUUAAAGAGCUCCAUCUAAUAACUUCUAUGAAUAUACACUAGGUUGCACAAAAAAGUCGUUUUUGGAUCAAUCCAAAGCCCAAAAUGGUUUUUAAAAGGUUAAAGGGUCCGUUGAGCGCCUCAAGGCUAUGUCAUAAUAGAUUUAAAAACUUGCCCCGAAUCGAAUUCUAGAUCAUAAUUGCUCUAGUAAAUAACUAAAUAAAAUAGAUAGAUGGGAGAUACAAAAAUAGAAAAGAAACGAACUAAUUAUAGAAAUAUCUCUCUAUCUCUAAGGUUUACUAAUUAUUUGACUGUUGGAGGGUCUCCUUGUAUGUGUUGUCCGGAAAGAGGAGGACUCAAUGAUUAUUCGUUCGCCGGAACCAGAAGUUAAAAUUUUGGUAGAUAGGGAUCCCGUAAAAACUUCUUUCGAAGAAUGGACUAGGCCGGGUCAUUUCUCAAGAACAAUAGAUAAAGGUCCUGAUACUACCACUUGGAUCUGGAACCUACAUGCUGAUGCUUAUGAUUUUGAUAGACAUACCAGUGAUUUGGAGGUGAUCUCUUGAAAAGUAUUUAGUGCACAUUUCGGUUAAAUCUCCAUCGUCUUUCUUUAGUUGGGCGGCAUGUAUUUCCUCGGUGCUCAUUUUUCUAAUUAUGAAGCGUGGCUAAGUGAUCCAACUCAUAUUGGGCCUAGUGCCCAGGUGGUUUGGCCAAUAAUGGGCCAAGAAAUAUUAAAUGGUGACGUAGGCGGGGGUUUUCGAGGAAUACAGAUAACCUCUAGUUUUUUUCAAAUUUGACGAGUAUCUGGAAUAACUAGUGAAUUACAACUCUAUUGUACAGCAAUUGGGGCAUUGGUCUUUGCAGCAUUAAUGCUUUUUGCUGGUUAGUUUAAUUAUCAUAAAGCGACGCCAAAAUUGGCUUGGUUUCAAGAUGUAGAAUCUAUGCUGAAUCACCAUUUGGCAGGUCUACUAGGACUUGGGUCUCUCUCUUGGGCGGGGCAUCAAGUACACAUAUCUUUACUGAUUAUCCAAUUUCUAAAUGCUGGAGUAUAUCCUAAAGAGAUACCACUUCCUCACGAACUUAUCUUGAAUCGAGAUCUUUUGGAUAAACUUUAUCCCAGUUUUGCCGAGGGAGCAACCCCAUUUUUACCUUGAAUUGGUCAAAAUAUUUGGACUUUCUUACUUUUCAUGAAGGAUUAGAUCCAGUAACUGGGGGUUUGCGGAUGACUGAUAUUGCCCAUCACCAUUUAGCUAUUGUAAUUCUUUUCCUGAUAGCGGGUCACAUGUAUAAGACCAACUGGGGUAUUAGUCAUGGACUAAAAGAUUUUUUAGAAGCCCAUAAAGGUCCAUUUACAGGUCAGGGCCAUAAAGGCCUAUAUGAGAUCCUAACAAUGUCAUGGCAUGCUCAAUUAUCUCUUAACUUAGAUAUGUUAGGCUCUUUAACCAUUGUUGUAGCUUAUUAUAUGUAUUCCAUGCCCCCUUAUCCAUAUCUAGCUACUGACUAUGGUACACAACUGUCAUUGUUCACACAUCAUAUGUGGAUUGGUAGAUUUCUCAUAGUUGGCGCUGCCGCGCAUGCAACCAUUUUUAUGGUAAGAGAUUAUGAUCUAACUACUCGGUAUAACGAUCUAUUAGAUCGUGUCCUUAGGUAUCGUGAUGAAAUCAUAUCCCAUCUCAACUGGGCAUGUAUAUUUCCAGGCUUUCACAAUUUUGGUUUGUCUAUUCAUAAUGAUACCAUGAGCACUUUAGGGCAUCCUCAAAAUAUGUUUUCAGAUACCGCUAUACAAUUACAACCUAUUUUUGCUCAAUAAAUACAAAACACCCAUGCUUUAGCACAUGGUGCAACAGCUCCUGGUGCAACAGCAAGCACCAGUUUAACUUGGGGGGGGGUGAUUUAGUGGCAGUGGGUGGCAAGGUGGCUUGGUUACCUAUUCCAUUAGGAACCGCUGAUUUCUUGGUACAUCACAUUCAUACAUUUACGAUUCAUGUGACGGUAUUGAUACUCUUAAAAGGUAUUCUAUUUGCUCACAGUUCUCGUUUGAUACCAGAUAAGGCAAAUCUUGGUUUUCAUUUUCCUUUUGAAGGACUUGGAAGCGGGGGUACAUGUCAAGUAUCGGCCUGGGAUCAUGUCUUCUUAGGACUAUUUUGGAUGUACAAAUCAAUUUCGGUAAUAAUAUUCCAUUUCAGUUGGAAAAUGCAUUCAGAUGUUUAGGGUAGUGUAAGUGAUCAAGGGAUAGUAACUCAUAUCACGGGAGAAAACUUUGGGCAGAGUUCUAUUACUAUUAAUGGGUGGCUCCGCGAUUUGUUAUGGGCACAGGCAUCCCAAGUAAUUCAGUCUUAUGGUUCUUCAUUAUUUGUAUAUAGCCUUUUUUUCCUAGGCGCUCAUUUUGUCUGGGCUUUUAGUUUAAUGUUUCUAUUCAGCGGACGUGGUUAUUGGCAAGAAUUUAUUGAAUCCAUCGUUUAGGCUCAUAAUAAAUUAAAAGUUGCUCCUGCUAUUUAGCCGAGAGCCUUGAGCAUUAUACAAGGACGUGUUGUAGGAGUAACCCAGUACCUUCUGGGUGAAAUUGCCACAACAUGGGCAUUCUUCUUAGCAAGAAUUAUUGCAGUAGGAUAAUGGCUAGAAGGAUUUGAAAAGCAUUAUGGCAUUACGAUUUCCAAGGUUUAGCCAAGGCUUAGCUCAGGACCCCACUACUCGUCGUAUUUUGUUUGGUAUUGCUACCGCACGUGACUUUGAGAGUCAUGAUGAUAUUACUGAGGAACGUCUUUAUCAAAAUAUUUUUGCUUCUCACUUCAGUCAUUUAGCAAUAAUUUUUCUGUGAACUUUCAAAAAUCUGUUUCAUGUAUCUUGGCAAGGAAAUUUUGAGUCGUACAGUUAUUUGGAAACUAUUUCAAGCAAAUGGCAUUCCCCCCUUUUUAUCGACAGAAUAACCCCCCUAUUUUUUUUAUUUUGAUAUCUCUGGACUAAUUAAACCAAUUUUUCAAAAUUGGACAGGUAAAGAGGGAGAAUUCAAGAUUCUAGAGUCUAAAAAAGAACAAACAAAAAGAGAAGAGAAAAAAGAAAAGGACAAAAAAAGGAGAACACCAGAAAGGAAAAAGAACGGCUAGCGGUAGCAGAAGCUUGGGAUAACAUUCUUUGUGCGAAAAUAAUAAGAGGUUACAUGUUAAUAACUCAAUCAAUUCUUCAAAAAUAUGUUGUAUUACCUUCAUUGAUAAUAGCCAAAAAUCUCAAGUGUAUGUUAUUCUUGCAACUUCCUGAAUGGUCUGAGGAUUUGCAGGAAUGGAAUAGAGAAAUGCAUAUUAAAUGUACUUAUAAUGGUGUUCAAUUAUCAGAAACAGAAUUUCCACAAAAUUGGUUGAGCGAUGGGAUUCAGAUCAAAAUUUUAUUUCCUUUUUGUCUGAAACCUUGGCAUAUAUCUAAACUGCACCCCUCCCGCGUAGAGCUGAUGAAAAAGAAAAAACAAAAAGAUGAUUUUUGUUUUUUAAUAGUUUUGGGAAUGGAAGCUGAACUUCCCUUUGGUUCUCCCCGAAAGCGCCCUUCCUUUUUUGAUCACAUUUUUAAGGAACUCGAAAAAAAAAUUGGAAAAUUUAAAAAGAAAUAUUUUAUAAGUUUUAUAACUAUAACUCGAAAAGUUUUGAAAGGAAAAACAAAAUUAUUUCGAAGAGAUUCAAAAGAAACCAAAAAAUGGCUUAUAAAAAAUAUUCUAUUUCUAAAAAAAAUAAAAAAAGAACUUUCAAACAUAAAUCCAAUUGUAUUAUUUAGAUUCAAAGAAAUAUCUGAAUCGAAUGAAACGAAAAAAGAAAAAGAUUAUCUAAUUAGUAAUCAAAUAAUUAACGAAUCAUUUAGUCAAAUUGAAUCUGGAAAUUGGCCAAAUUCUUCACUGAUAGAAACCAAAAUGAAGGAUUUGACUGAUAGAACAAGUACAAUAAAAAAUCAAAUAGAAAGAAUUACAAAAGAGAAAAAGAAAGUAACUCCAGAAAUAGACAUUAGUCCUAAAUCGCCAAAAAAUAUUUUCCAAAUAUUAAAAAAAAGAAAUACUCGAUUAAUAUGUCAAUUCCAUUAUUUUAGAAAAUUAUUCAUUCAAAGAUUAUACAUCGAUCUAUUUUUAUCUAUCAUUAAUAUUACAAGAAUUAAUACACAACUCCGUCUUAAAUCAACAAAGAAAUUGAUUGAGAAAUACAUUUCCAAUAAUGAAAUAAAUCAAGAAAAAAUUAAUAAUAAAAACAAAAUUAACUUUAUCUUUAUUUCGACUAUAAAAAAGUCACUUUAUAAUAUUUAUAAUAUUAGUAAGAAAAAUUCACAUAGUUUUUUUGAUUUAUCCUACUUGUCACAAGCAUAUGUAUUUUACAAAUUAUCACAAACCCAAGUUAUUAAUUUGUCUAAAUUUAAAUCUGUUCUUCAAUAUAACAGAACGUCUUUUUUCCUUAAGACUAAAAUAAAGGACUAUUUUAGAACACUAGGAAUAUUUCAUUCUGAAUUAAAACAUAAAAAACCUCAGAGUUAUAGAAUCAAUCAAUGGAAAAACUGGUUAAGACGGCAUUAUCAAUACGAUUUAUCUAAGAUUAGAUGGUCUAGAUUAAUGCCAAAAAAAUGGAGAACUGGGGUUAAUCAAAGUUGUAUGGCUCAAAAUAAAAAUAGAAACUUAAACAAAUGGAAUUCAUAUGAAAAAGACCAAUUAAUUCAUUACAAAAAAGAAAAUGAUUCUGAACUCUAUUCAUUAUCAAACCAAAAAGAUAAUUUUAAAAAAUGUUAUAGAUAUGAUCUUUUAUCAUAUAAAUCGAUUAAUUAUGAAAAUAAAAGUUACUCAUUUAUUUCUAGAUUACCCUUUCAAGUAAAUAAGAACUUCGAAAUUUCUUAUAAUUCCAACACGCCCAAACACAACCCUUUUGAUAUGCCCGACAAUCUUCAUAUCAAUAAUUAUCUAAUAAAAGGCAAUCUUCUACAUCUACAUAUAGAAAGAAAUCUCGAUAGAAAAUAUAGAAAAUAUUUUGAUUGGAAAAUUCUCCAUUUUUCUGUUAGACAAAAAGGAGAUAUUGAGGCCUGGGUUAAGAUCGAUACCAACAGUAAUCGAAAUACUAAAAUUGGUAUUAAUAAUUAUGAAAUAAUUAAUAAAAAAGGACUUUUUUAUCUUACAACUCAUCAAAAUCCAGAAAAAACUAAAAAAAAUUCGAAAAAAGACUUUUUUGAUUGGAUGGGAAUGAAUGAAAAAAUAUUUAAUCGUCCCAUAUUGGAUAUGGAAUUUUGGUUCUUCCCAGAAUUUGUACUACUUUAUAAUGUAUAUAAAAUAAAACCGUGGAUUAUACCAAGCAAAUUACUUCUUUUAAAUUUGAAUACAAAUGAAAAUGUUAGUAAAAAUCAAAAUAUCAAUAAAAACAACAAAAAAAACUUUUUUCUACCAUCAAAUAAAAAAAUAAAGAAUCGAAUUCAAGAAGCAAAAGAACCCGCAAGUCAAGGAAAAAGAGAGCGUGGAUCAGAUAUAGAAAACAAAGGAAAUCUGGGCCCUGUUUUCUCAAAACAUCAAAACGAUCUUGAAAAAGAUUACGCGGAAUCAAACACAAAGAAGGGUAAAAAUAAAAAACAAUACAAAAGCAACACGGAAGCAGAACUAGAUUUGUUCUUGAAACGUUAUUUGCUUUUUCAAUUGAGAUGGAACGAUACUUUGAAUCAAAGAAUAAUCGAAAAUGUAAAGGUAUAUUGUCUCCUGCUUCGACUGAUAAACCCAAACAAAAUUGCUAUAUCGUCAAUUCAAAGGAGAGAAAUGAGUUUGGAUAUAAUGCUGAUUCAGGCGAAUUUACCUCUUACAGAAUUGAUGAAGAAGGGGUUAUUGAUUAUCGAACCUAUUCGAUUGUCUGUAAAAAAUAAUGGACAAUUUAUUAUGUAUCAAACCGUAGGUAUUUCAUUGGUUCAUAAAAGUAAACACCAAACUAAUCAAAGAUACCGAGACCAAAGAUAUGUUGAUAAAAAUCAUUUUGAUUUGCUUGUUCCUGAAAAUAUUUUAUGGUCUAGACGUCGUAGAGAAUUGAGAAUUCGAAGUUUUUUUAAUUCUUUGAAUUGGAAUGGCGUCGAUAGAAAUUCAGUAUUUUCCAAUGAAACUAAUGUAAAAAACUGGAGUAAAUUUUUGGAUGAAAGGAAACCUCUUUAUAAAGAUAAAAAUGAAUUAAUUAAAUUAAAGUUCUUUCUUUGGCCUAAUUAUCGAUUAGAAGAUUUAGCUUGUAUGAAUCGUUAUUGGUUUGAUACCAACAAUGGUAGCCGUUUCAGUAUCUUAAGGAUACAUAUGUAUCCACGAUUGAAAAUUAAUUGAUAUUACUAUAUACCCUGUCUCGUAUAGAGUAUCUGAAAGAAAACAAAUGCACACAUGCCUUGUCUUACAUCUCAUUCGAAUCUAAUUCGAGUAGACGAUACUAAAUCAAUAAGGUAUCGAUUAGAUCUAGAAAUGAAUCAACGGAAUCUUCUUCAUUUUCGGAUUUUAGGUUUAAAUUAUUCGCUUUUGUGAAUGAAAAAAACGUACCUACCAACUUUUUCUUUUUGGAUUCCUAUCUGAAUCAAAUUUUAAAUUUGAUUAAUUUAUUGGAAUUGAUAAAAUUAGGGGUUCAUAAAGAAAUUAAGUCUAUAUACCACGUUCAAAUUACUGGCAUUAUUAUUACUGAUCGAUAAAAUUCGAUAAAAUCCAUAUCUGUAAAAUAAAGAAAGGGGAAAUUCAUUUAUGGUAAAAAAUUCUGUCAUUUCAGUUAUUUCUCAAGAAGAAAAGAGAGGAUCUGUUGAAUUUCAAGUAUUCAAUUUCACCAAUAAGAUACGGAGACUUACUUCACAUUUAGAAUUGCACAAAAAAGACUAUUUAUCUCAGAGAGGUUUGAAGAAAAUUUUGGGAAAACGUCAACGACUGCUAGCUUAUUUGGCAAAAAAAAAUAGAGUACGUUAUAAAGAAUUAAUUAAUCAGUUGGACAUUCGAGAGACAAAAACUCGUUAAUUUGAUUAAUUUGAAGAGUCAUUUCGUUUUCACUUAUAUGUUUCGAUUAAAUUUUGAUGAACUUCUUUUCACUUUCAGUAAUUCAUGGAAGAAUGAAUCGUUAAAAAACUUAUGACUGCACCAACUACAAGAAAAGACCUCAUGAUAGUCAAUAUGGGGCCUCAGCACCCAUCAAUGCACGGUGUUCUUCGACUCAUCGUUACUCUAGAUGGUGAAGAUGUUGUCGACUGCGAACCAAUAUUGGGUUAUUUACAUAGAGGGAUGGAGAAAAUUGCGGAAAACCGAACAAUUAUACAAUAUUUACCUUAUGUAACACGUUGGGAUUAUUUAGCUACUAUGUUCACAGAAGCAAUAACCAUAAAUGGACCCGAACAAUUAGGCAAUAUUCAAGUACCUAAAAGGGCUAGCUAUAUCAGAGUCAUUAUGUUGGAGUUGAGUCGGAUCGCUUCUCAUUUGUUAUGGCUCGGUCCUUUUAUGGCGGAUAUUGGUGCGCAGACCCCUUUCUUCUAUAUUUUUCGAGAAAGAGAAUUGAUAUAUGACCUAUUCGAAGCUGCUACCGGUAUGCGAAUGAUGCAUAAUUAUUUUCGUAUUGGAGGAGUGGCUGCCGAUCUACCCUAUGGCUGGGUAGAUAAAUGUUUGGAUUUUUGCGAUUAUUUUUUAACAGGGGUUGCUGAGUAUCAAAAACUUAUUACCCGGAAUCCUAUUUUUUUAUAACGAGUUGAAGGCAUAGGCAUUAUUGGGAAAGACGAGGCAUUAAAUUGGGGUUUAUCGGGACCAAUGCUAC
rnacentral:lncRNA from 1 species